GAUGAACACUGGCGGCGUGCUUAACACAUGCAAGUCGAACGAUGAAGCCCAGCUUGCUGGGUGGAUUAGUGGCGAACGGGUGAGUAACACGUGAGUAACCUGCCCUUAACUCUGGGAUAAGCCUGGGAAACUGGGUCUAAUACCGGAUAGGAGCGUCCACCGCAUGGUGGGUGUUGGAAAGAUUUAUCGGUUUUGGAUGGACUCGCGGCCUAUCAGCUUGUUGGUGAGGUAAUGGCUCACCAAGGCGACGACGGGUAGCCGGCCUGAGAGGGUGACCGGCCACACUGGGACUGAGACACGGCCCAGACUCCUACGGGAGGCAGCAGUGGGGAAUAUUGCACAAUGGGCGAAAGCCUGAUGCAGCGACGCCGCGUGAGGGAUGACGGCCUUCGGGUUGUAAACCUCUUUCAGUAGGGAAGAAGCGAAAGUGACGGUACCUGCAGAAGAAGCACCGGCUAACUACGUG
rnacentral:rRNA from 1 species